UACGUAGGGUGCGAGCGUUUGUCCGGAAUUACUGGGCGUAAAGAGCUCGUAGGUGGUUUGUCGCGUUGUUCGUGAAAACUCACAGCUUAACUGUGGGCGUGCGGGCGAUACGGGCAGACUGGAGUACUGCAGGGGAGACUGGAAUUCCUGGUGUAGCGGGUGGAAUGCGCAGAUAUCAGGAGGAACACCGAUGGCGAAGGCAGGUCUCUGGGCCGAUACUGACGUGAGGAGCGAAAGCGUGGGGAGCGAACAGG
rnacentral:rRNA from 1 species